AGGGAAUAUUGCACAAUGGAGGAAACUCUGAUGCAGCGACGCCGCGUGAGUGACGAAGGCCUUCGGGUUGUAAAGCUCUGUUCUCUGGGAAAAAGAAAGUGAUUGUACCAGAGAAGAAAGGACCGGCUAACUUCGUGCCAGCAGCCGCGGUAAGACGAGGGGUCCAAGCGUUGUUCGGAAUUAUUGGGCGUAAAGCGGGUGUAGGUGGCUCUAUAAGUCAGGAGUGAAAUCCCCAAGCUUAACUUGGGAAGUGCUUUUGAUACUGCAGAGCUUGCAUGUGGGAGAGGAUAAUAGAAUUCCAGGUGUAGUGGUGAAAUACGUAGAUAUCUGGAGGAACACCGGUGGCGAAGGCGGUUAUCUGGCCCAAGAUUGACACUGAGACCCGAAAGCGUGGGGAUCAAAC
rnacentral:rRNA from 1 species